rnacentral:rRNA from 1 species
UACGAAGGGGGCGAGCGUUGUUCGGAUUUACUGGGCGUAAAGGGCGCGCAGGCGGUUCUGUUUGUCGAGUGUGAAAGCCCCGGGCUCAACCUGGGAACUGCGCUCGAAACGGCGGAACUAGAGUUCGGGAGAGGAGAGUGGAAUUCCCAGUGUAGAGGUGAAAUUCGUAGAUAUUGGGAAGAACACCGGUGGCGAGGGCGGCUCUCUGGACCGAUACUGACGCUGAGGCGCGAAAGCGUGGGGAGCAAACAGG